GGACAUUUGGAAGGUUUGCUUUCUGGGUUACAAGCGGAGAACGUGGUUUCUCGACUAUUACCCAGGGAAAAGUCCCCGGACCCGUGGCAGAAAGUGCCCUGGCGUAAAGCCAGCAACGGCUCGUGUCUCCCCGCCAGAGCCAAGAAGCUCGCUGAGAGCAGAGCUCGGGGUACACUUGUCGUCUUUGUCAUGAAGGAGAGAAAUGCAGGCGUGCGUGCGCACUGUGUAACAGAACGGGGCUCACUCUCUGAAUGCUC
ensembl:ribozyme RNase_MRP RNase MRP